rnacentral:lncRNA from 1 species
GGCUACUCCCGUCACGCAUCCCGCAGUCCGCCCAGGGGCGCCCCCUCCCCGAGGCUUCCAAGCUGGGGACCCCCGUGGCCUCGGGGGCUUGCGCUUCUGCGCCCCUUGCGCGGGACGGGGCGCGCUCCGAGCGCCAGAGUCGGAAUGUCUUUCCCCUUACGUCUGCACUGCGUUUCCCUGCACGCGUGGACACGCUGCACCAGCCUUGCCCCCAUAGACGCUUGGGCCGCUGACACCUUUUGGCCACUGUGAGCGGUUUUGCUAUGACACGCAUGUGGGAAUCGCUGUUCACGGCCUUGCUUUCAAUUCCUGGCUUCUCCAGACCUGAGAACUUCCCUGGCCAGGGUCGCAGAGCCUCCGUCAGUGACAAGGAAACUGAGUCUCACAAGGAAGCGGACACAAGGGUUGAGGCUUUGAGGCCGAGCUCCCUGCUGCCCCCAGCCUUCCCAAGAGAGGAAGUGACUGGCCCAGGGUCAUUCACUGCUGCUUGGGGCUUUGGCUGGAGUCUGCUGACCGCCCUGGGAUCACAGGAUGACCAGGACAGCUGACCAGGACACCCUCAGGAUGCCCCUGCCUCUGGGGCACUUGCCAGAGGACAUGUGACAGGCAGUGCUCCGCCCCUUCCUCCCAGAGGAAGCCUGGCCCAGGACUCCUCAUGUUUGGCAGAUGGGGAAACUGAGCCCUGAGGAGGCCUGGCUCUGAGCCUGGGUCCUUUCCCUCACUGAAGACGUCCAUGUGGGAGAAGCGGGGCCCUGGACAGCAGGAUCCGACCCCAGCUGCCUCUGAGGACCGAAGGGUGGGAUGGCUGCCUGGAGGUGGCAGCUGGGAGGAGCCCCUGGGCGUGGGGCUUUCCUCCUAUGGGUAAUGGGCUGCACCCAAGGGUGCCCAGCCUGAGCCAGGGGCUCUCGGCAGUGAUGCAAAAUGCCAAGCAUGUCCACCCCGUUGCUGGGGACAGGCAGGGGCAGCUGCACACAGGCUGUUCUCUGAGCUGGCAUGAUUUCCAG